CAGUCGCCGCGGGAAUACAGAGGGUGCGAGCGUUAAUCGGAUUUACUGGGCGUAAAGCGUGCGUAGGCGGCUUCUUAAGUCGGAUGUGAAAUCCCUGAGCUUAACUUAGGAAUUGCAUUCGAUACUGGGAAGCUAGAGUAUGGGAGAGGAUGGUAGAAUUCCAGGUGUAGCGGUGAAAUGCGUAGAGAUCUGGAGGAAUACCGAUGGCGAAGGCAGCCAUCUGGCCUAAUACUGACGCUGAGGUACGAAAGCAUGGGGAGCAAAUGGGAUUAGAUACCCCUGUAGUCCCUGUCUCUUAUAA
rnacentral:rRNA from 1 species